rnacentral:rRNA from 1 species
UCAAAGAUUAAGCCAUGCAUGUCUAAGUCCAUGCCUCAAUAUGGUGAAACCGCGAAUGGCUCAUUAAAUCAGUUAUGGUUCCUUAGAAACAUACUUCCUACUUGGAUAUCUGUGGCAAUUCUAGAGCUAAUACAUGCAGUGAACUCUGAUCCUUUUAGGUGACGAGUGCUUUUAUUAGACCAAGAUCAAAUCGGGCCUCGGUCCGGAAAAUUUGUGUGGUGACUCUGGAUAACUUUGAGCAGAUCGCACGGCCAAGAGCUGGCGACAAUUCUUUCAAGUGUCUGCCUUAUCAACUUUCGAUGGUAGGUUAUGCGCCUACCAUGGUCCUUACGGGUAACGGAGAAUCAGGGUUCGAUUCCGGAGAGGGAGCCUGAGAAACGGCUACCACAUCCAAGGAAGGCAGCAGGCGCGCAAAUUACCCACUCCCGGCACGGGGAGGUAGUGACGAAAAAUAACAAUACGGGACUCUUUUGAGGCCCCGUAAUUGAAAUGAGUACACUCUAAAUCCUUGUACGAGGAUCAAUUGGAGGGCAAGUCUGGUGCCAGCAGCCGCGGUAAUUCCAGCUCCAAUAGCGUAUACUAAAGUUGCUGCGGUUGAAAAGCUCGUAGUUGGAUACCAGUUCCAGACGGGAGGUACAUCGAAAAGAUGCUACCGCCCCGGACUGAACAUCAUGCCUACUGUUUCUUGGUCCUCUUCAUUGGGUGCCUUGAAGCGGUCGGUGCAUUUACUUUGAAAAAAUUAGAGUGCUCAACGCAGGCGCAUUGCCUGAAUACCCAUGCAUGGAAUAAUAGAGCAAGACCUCGUAUCUGUUCUGUUGGUUUUUGGAAAACGAGGUAAUGAUUAAGAGGGACAGACGGGGGCAUUCGUAUUGCGGCGCUAGAGGUGAAAUUCUUGGACCGUCGCAAGACGAACUACUGCGAAAGCAUUUGCCAAGAAUGUUUUCAUUGAUCAAGAACGAAAGUUAGAGGUUCGAAGGCGAUCAGAUACCGCCCUAGUUCUAACCAUAAACGAUGCCAACCAGCAAUCCGCCAGAGUUCCUCAAAUGACUCGGCGGGCAACUUCCGGGAAACCAAAGUAUUUGGGUUCCGGGGGAAGUAUGGUUGCAAAGCUGAAACUUANAG